UACAGAGGUCUCAAGCGUUGUUCGGAUUCACUGGGCGUAAAGGGUGCGCAGGCGGUUGGGUGUGUCAGAUGUGAAAGCCCGAGGCUCAACCUCGGAACUGCGUCUGAAACUACUCGACUAGAGUACUGGAGAGGGAAACGGAAUUCACGGUGUAGCAGUGAAAUGCGUAGAUAUCGUGAGGAACACCAGGGGCGAAGGCGGUUACCUGGACAGUUACUGACGCUCAGGCACGAAAGCAUGGGGAGCAAAAGGG
rnacentral:rRNA from 1 species